AGAUGAUGGAAAUAUUAUUAGGGAUGAUGCUGAACUCGUGGACCCAAAUGAUGGUAGAAUCCUCUUCACUGUACUACUCAAGUGGAAGAGCACGGCCUGUGAUGGAGUCAAGAGGCAGGUUUGCAUGAAGAAUGAAGAAGAUUCGUAACCAAUAAGGCAACAACGUCAAACUGAUUCUUCUUUUUAAAUGGAGUCAAGAAGCAGGUUUGCAUAAAUUGGAUGUGUUUGAAAAAAGCUUGAAGGUCUGAGUGAUGAGUUAAGAUAUGCGUACUAAAGAAUCGAGUCCAGAAGCAAGUUUGGAAAAAAAGCUUGAAGCUAAGUAUAAGAUGGGUGAUAUGCUAUGGGUUUGAAGAAAGAAGAAGAUUCAGAACCAGAAAAGAUACUCGGAAGAGCACAAUCUGUUAAGCGGGAAUCAAGAACCAGUUUAGUUUAACCUUUUGAUCAUUCAUCCGGGAGCUUACUGGAGGUAUUUGCAAUGGGCAUCCUCAGGGCUUUACCACAAAUAUAGGUGAGGAAGUUUGCUUUUGUACUGAGUCCUAUUCUGCAAGUGAGUGAUGGAUGUUCAGAGGACAUGGCGUCUUCAACUCUCAUCUGAUUUGACGAGAAACUCCACAACAAUAAAAAAGAUAAGAUCUUAAUUAAUGGGUUUGUUUAUUUUGGAGAUUCUGUGAAACAUCUCUCCACAUAAAACAACUCAUCACCGGAGGAGAGAAGAAGCUCAGUCGUCGACGCAAAGAC